CGAAAACGAAUUCUCUCUUGAGUGGAUCCUGAGUACGACGGAGCACGUGAAAUUCCGUCGGAAUCUGGGAGGACCAUCUCCUAAGGCUAAAUACUCUCUAGUGACCGAUAGUGAACCAGUACCGUGAGGGAAAGGUGAAAAGUACCCCGGAAGGGGAGUGAAAGAGAACUUGAAACCGUGUGCUUACAAGUAGUCAGAGCCCGUUAAUGGGUGAUGGCGUGCCUUUUGUAGAAUGAACCGGCGAGUUACGAUCUGAUGCAAGGUUAAGCAGAAAAUGUGGAGCCGUAGCGAAAGCGAGUCUGAAUAGGGCGAAUGAGUAUUUGGUCGUAGACCCGAAACCAGGUGAUCUACCCUUGGUCAGGUUGAAGUUCAGGUAACACUGAAUGGAGGACCGAACCGACUUACGUUGAAAAGUGAGCGGAUGAACUGAGGGUAGCGGAGAAAUUCCAAUCGAACUUGGAGAUAGCUGGUUCUCUCCGAAAUAGCUUUAGGGCUAGCCUCAAGUGAUGAUUAUUGGAGGUAGAGCACUGUUUGGACGAGGGGCCCCUCUCGGGUUACCGAAUUCAGACAAACUCCGAAUGCCAAAUAAUUUAACUUGGGAGUCAGAAUGUGGGUGAUAAGGUCCAUAUUCGAAAGGGAAACAGCCCAGACCACCAGCUAAGGUCCCAAAAUAUAUGUUAAGUGGAAAAGGAUGUGGCGUUGCCCAGACAACUAGGAUGUUGGCUUAGAAGCAGCCAUCAUUUAAAGAGUGCGUAAUAGCUCACUAGUCGAGUGACACUGCGCCGAAAAUGUACCGGGGCUAAACAUAUUACCGAAGCUGUGGAUUGUCCUUUGGACAAUGGUAGGAGAGCGUUCUAAGGGCGUUGAAGCAUGAUCGCAAGGACAUGUGGAGCGCUUAGAAGUGAGAAUGCCGGUGUGAGUAGCGAAAGACGGGUGAGAAUCCCGUCCACCGAUUGACUAAGGUUUCCAGAGGAAGGCUCGUCCGCUCUGGGUUAGUCGGGUCCUAAGCUGAGGCCGACAGGCGUAGGCGAUGGAUAACAGGUUGAUAUUCCUGUACCACCAUUAUUCGUUUUAAGCGAUGGGGGGACGCAGUAGGAUAGGCGAAGCGUGCUGUUGGAGUGCACGUCCAAGCAGUGAGAUUGAGUGUUAGGCAAAUCCGGCACUCUUAAGAUUGAG
rnacentral:rRNA from 1 species